GACGAACGCUGGCGGCGUGCAUAACACAUGCAAGUCGAACGGGAUUUAGUAAACAGACACCUCGGUGGAAGAUUACUAAUGAGAGUGGCGAACGGGUGAGUAACGCGUGAGCAACCUGCCUAUGACAGUGGGAUAGCCUCGGGAAACCGGGAUUAAUACCGCAUAAAAUCGUAGAAACACAUGUUUUAACGGUCAAAGAUUUAUCGGUCAUAGAUGGGCUCGCGUCUGAUUAGCUAGUUGGUGAGAUAACAGCCCACCAAGGCGACGAUCAGUAGCCGGUCUGAGAGGAUGAACGGCCACAUUGGAACUGAGACACGGUCCAAACUCCUACGGGAGGCAGCAGUGGGGAAUAUUGCACAAUGGGGGAAACCCUGAUGCAGCGACGCCGCGUGAACGAAGAAGGUAUUCGUAUCGUAAAGUUCUGUCCUAUGGGAAGAUAAUGACAGUACCAUAGAAGAAAGCUCCGGCUAAAUACGUG
rnacentral:rRNA from 1 species